CAGUCUAUUGAACAGCAUGGAUUUUCAUGAUAAUUUUACGAUGGAGAACACGUCAAUUCAUCAGAUAUGACGGGUCUUUUCUUUGGCAUUAGAUGUGACACGUGUAGUGCGCUGGUACCAUUUAGGCUUCAGAACUUUCAUCUAUGAAGACCCACUUGCUAAUGGCCACCAUGCACAGAAAAGACCAUGAUGUGGAGGACAUAUGUGCUUAGUUAUUAAAGUCGGGACAGAAUACAUUUAGAAACUGAUCAUGCCUUGGUCAAAUCAAAGGAGUUCCCUCAGUCUUUCAGAGAGAUGGCAGAGAGUUCAUUCAACAUGAAGAUGAUGUGCACAUAAUGUAAUCUGGAAUCUAAAGUUAGAGAUAAAAACCUGCAAACACUAGCAAAUAAGCCUAUCUGCUUGUUAAUUAUUCUUUGCCGGACACUUCACUUUUAGGAAUAAUCUUUAUUUCUAUCAAUGAUGCAAGUGGUUAUUCAAGAUCAUGUCAUGUGAAAUAAGGAAUUCUGACUUUUGACAGCAUAAGACAAGGGCUUGUGAGAAGAGUAGCAAAUACUAAAGAAAUCCUUGGAUACUGAA